GAGGAGUGGCGGACGGGUGAGUAACACGUGGGUAACCUACCCAUCAGAGGGGGAUAACACUUGGAAACAGGUGCUAAUACCGCAUAACAGUUUAUGCCGCAUGGCAUAAGAGUGAAAGGCGCUUUCGGGUGUCGCUGAUGGAUGGACCCGCGGUACAUUAGCUAGCUGGUGAGGUAACGGCUCACCAAGGCCACGAUGCAUAGCCGACCUGAGAGGGUGAUCGGCCACACUGGGACUGAGACACGGCCCAGACUCCUACGGGAGGCAGCAGUAGGGAAUCUUCGGCAAUGGACGAAAGUCUGACCGAGCAACGCCGCGUGAGUGAAGAAGGUUUUCGGAUCGUAAAACUCUGUUGUUAGAGAAGAACAAGGACGUUAGUAACUGAACGU
rnacentral:rRNA from 1 species